rnacentral:rRNA from 1 species
CAGCCGCCGCGGUAAUACGUAGGGUGCAAGCGUUAAUCGGAAUUACUGGGCGUAAAGCGUGCGUAGGUGGUGGUUUAAGUCCGUUGUGAAAGCCCUGGGCUCAACCUGGGAAUUGCAGUGGAUACUGGCAAGCUAGAGUGUGUCAGAGGAUGGUGGAAUUCCCGGUGUAGCGGUGAAAUGCGUAGAGAUCGGGAGGAACAUCAGUGGCGAAGGCGGCCAUCUGGGACAACACUGACGCUGAGGCACGAAAGCGUGGGGAGCAAACAGGAUUAGAUACCCCGGUAGUCCCUGUCUCUUAUAC